CCUGUUGCAGCACAACAACGUUUGCUGGUUAAGUAGGGAGCAUGUGUUAGAGAGGUUUUGUGUGCUUCAAAAAGAAAUAAUAAAUUUUUUUGCAAACCACAUGACCAAAAAGGCUUGUGAGUUUCUGGAAUUUAUGAAUGAUGUCCCCUCUAUGUCACAGGUAGCUUUUCUGUGUGAUAUUUCUAGUCACUUGAAUUCCCUCAACUUGCAGCUCCCAGGCCAUGCAAGCAGCGUUGAGGAUCUGUUUGAAAAAGUGUGUGCCUUUCAAAGGAAUCCUGAAAUCUUUCAGACAGCUGUAACAGGAAAGAUGUUGCACUUUCCCACAUUGUGUGUUGUUGCUACAGGGGAAAGUUAGAUGAAAACAAUGCAAGAAUUCUUAAACAAUCUGAUUGAAAAAUUUAAAAUGCAAUUUGAGAAUUUUAAAAUUCCAAAGGAUUUGCUUUUAUUUGUUUGUAAUCAUUUGUUGUCUUUGCCAAUGGAUCUUAGCCUUCUGAAGAAAAGAACAUUCUUGAUUCAAUUGAUGAAGGUGCCUUUCAAUUAGAAAUUGUAAGGCUCCAAAACUCAGAUGUUUUGAAGUCAAAAUUCAGAGAAGUAGGACUUCGUGAUUUCUGGAUUCAAUAUGCUGAGCAGUUUCAGAAUAGCUAGAAUCUAGUAGUCUAUUUUUAACGAUGUUUGGAUCAACGUACCUCUGCAAAUCUGGGUUUUCUACUAUGGACAUUAUAAAAAACCAACACCACAAUUGCCUGACGGAUGAGCAUCUUCAACCAUGUAUGUGCCUUGCCCGGACCUUCUACAAACCACUCUUCACAAAGUUUGCCAGAGUUCGUCAAUGUCACCUCUCCCCUUAGAGAUUGCUACAAACACAGGUAGAUCUAAUUGAGUAUCACUGUCUAAGAGGGUUCGUUACUAGCACUUGCCUGACCAAGUUGGAGCCAGCCAACAUGGGUUUAAGCAAACGGAGUCUAGUUCUGUUAUUCCUCGAAUGCCUGCCUGCUGAGAGAAGUUCUGCAGAGAUUUCUGCUGUGCUCGAGUCAAGGGCUUGAGUCAUGACUCAUGAGACUGCCACCACAUCAGAUCAUAGGACCACUUUCUUCACUCAUUUCCUGGGAAAGUCCUGUUCAGUGUAUGAGAAUGAUCCAGGCAAUUGGAUUCUUUGAAAUUCUAUGACAAAGGCCACAGGGUUAGCUUAAUGAAAGAAGUCCGCUUGUAGGCAGAUUUAAGCUGUUGAGGUUUGGAUUUUCUAAGUCCCCAAUAUCACAUGACUGUGGCUUAAAUCUAGUUGAAAAUUUUUGAAAUGUUGGCAGAUGUGUCAUGAUAAUUGUUUGCUGUCUUUCAAUCAGGUAGUCCUGGGGUCAAUUUUUUAAAAAUCUUUGAAAUGUAGACAAAAAAUGUUUGCAAAAUGUUUUUGAAAAUGUUUGUAUAUUAUUUUAUUGAGCUCUGAGGCUAUAGUAUUUUUUUUUAAGGUUAGUUCACUUCCAUUUGGAAUAAUCCUGAAAAUGAAGCUUGUGUAAAUGAGUCUUAAUUUGCGCAAAAUGAGGUAUCUUUUCUUUUCUCACCACCGAGUACUGUAGUUGAUUAGCUACAUCCCUUUGUCCAGUAUGAAUAGCUGUUGAUCAUCCACAUGUGGAUUGGAUAUCUCUAGAAAGAAUAAUGGCAAACAUUUUUCCACUCACCAGACUGCUAGCUCUCAGCUGUCACCUCAUAACUAUAAAUAAUAGCUUUGGGGCUAGGUAUAUUUCAGAUACAGGCACAGAAGGAGAGAGAAAAUAGAGUCAUUUCCCCUCCUCCUCCCCGCCCCCUCCCCCGAUCACUGGCCUACUAUUGUUCCUUUGUGGUCAGUGGCAGGACGUACAAGUAGUGUUUGAGAUUCCAUAAGAACCUGUUUUGUAUUUGUGCUAGGCCAACUGAUUAGAGGGAUGGUAAUGAUGACUAGCAGCUUGCUGGGGAAAGAGAGAAGACAAGGCUUUUCAUAAUUAAUAAACAGAUUAAACUAAAACACAAAAUCCUACCGAUACUUAAAUUAUUUACCUAUCUCAGAUGCGGUUUGCCACAGUAAAGGUGCAAAUGGAAAUGCAAAAGCACUUUGGAAGGUUUGAUUCCAUCCAAAAUCUGUAACAAACAUUGAGAACAUUUUAACUGGAAACUGAACUUUAGCCGCUUUGUGAGUCUCUUAGAUGUUAACACAGCUAUUGGAGAAAUACUGUAUUGCUGUGCCUUUUCCUCAGUGCAUUUGCAGGAAAUGCCGACAUAAUGGUCUUCAGUCUAAAACAUAAAAGGGUCUCAUGGCAAAAGAAGCAGCAUGUGUAAGGCUAACUAUUUUUUUAAGCUACUGUUUUUCUUCUUUCCCUUUUUAAAUAUAUUUGAAUAAAGAACUUUGUUUUGUUUUUCUUCGAGACCACUUUUUGAUGUACAAUUUUUUCUGGCUGAUAGCCCCCGGGCCCCAAGGCAUCACUGGAGCACAGCACUCUGGUGAUGUGCCCUCUGCUCAUGCACAUGGGGUGGCAUAAAGCUGACUAUGCCAUCCAGGGGUUCCACUGCUCUGGAGAAGGCCUCAGCUGCCCCAUUAGGGCAUCUUUACGACCCCUCCGCUCCACCGGAUGUUUAUCAGGUAAUUAUGGAAAGUAGUGCCUAACUGAUUGUUCAAGUUCACUGAAAUACAUAGGCAACAAAGCAAUAAAAUUGGAGGCAUUUUUACUGUAAGCUCCAAAUCUGUCAUUUAGCUGCAUGAGAACAGCAUCUUUAAAUGGAAGAAAUAGUCAAAGUCAUUAGUGACUUUAUAGCUGCAACUGCCAGUGCUACUUCUAUGGUAUAUUGGUUUUUUUCAUUCACUGUAAAUUAGGAGCAAGUUGUAAAAGUUGCAUGUAAAACUGAAAUAUCUUAAUUUAAAAAUGGAAAAAACAAACCCGUUUCUCCUGUUGAUCUAGGAGCUCAAGAUCAUAGCAAUAGUAAUGUUGUUGUAUUCUAUAUCUGAACCGGUUAAAAUUAACAUUUUGGUAUUAUUCCCAGCUAAAUUAAGAUGAUUUGGUGACAAGAAGAAAUGUAUUUUCUACUGUUAAAGUGAUUUCCUACCAGCUCAUAUUUAUGAUAAGAUGGGAGUAUUCAGGCAUAGAGGAACUUGAUGUUUAUAACAACAUGCAUAAUCAUUGUUUGAAAACUUUUGAAUAAUUUUGUAAUAUGCUGUGUGUUUUUUAUAAAUAUACCAAACUAUUUUCAAAGAUAAAUAUUUAUUAGCUGGUUUGAAUUGAUUCUUGUAUUUCCACUUGAAGACUUCAGUAAAUAGAAAGAUACUUAAAUUGCUCAUGCGCUCCUAUAUGUUGUAUCUUCUUUUUUGUUUUGUAUUCAUAUUUUUCUUCUUUUCCUUUUUACUUAAGAGAAUUAUCUGAACAAAAUAUAAACAAAAUGGUUAGAUAUAAAUUUCAGUAGCAAAGGGCCAAUGGUAUCUAUGUAUAUUACAGUAAGAUCAUAGAAGCUUAGGUUGGUCCUUGUAUAUGUGAGAUCCACUUGGAAGGAUCUGGAAAGCUAAGAGGUUGCAGGGUUAGCUUGGCAUCAAAUAUCAAGGCACUGAAGCCCUGAUCCAGCAGGCCAUCCUUAUUUAACAAAGCACUUAAGCACAUAUUGAUCUCUAGGGAUGUGUUAAGUUCCAUUGACAUCAAUGGGACCUAAGUAGAUAGAAUCAUAGAAGUGUAUGACUGGAAGGGACCUCAAGAGGUCUUCUAGUCCCCUGCACUCAAGGUGGGACUAAGUAUUAUCAGAUUCUAGGCCAUCUUUACUUUAAGCACAUACUUAAGUGUUUUGCUGAAUGGAUUGGUAUUAAGUGCCUACUUAAAUGCCUGGCUGAAUUGGGGCCUGAUCUCUCUUUUAUCCCACUGGCCUGCUCCAAUUGCAAAACUUCACUCACUAUUCUGUCACUCAUAUUGGCAUGAAAUUCUGGUUUCUUCCUCCAUAGCAUUUCCUUUUCACUCUGCUAGCCAGAUCUAUCACAUGGUCCCCAUUAUCACUCACACAUGGUCUUCAUUAGCACUUCAUUGCUCCACAUUACAAAGUCUAAUACCCGGUUGGUUAAUUUAAUGCUUUCAAUGAAAGUGCUUAUCUAUUUAUU